rnacentral:rRNA from 1 species
GACGAACGCUGGCGGCGUGCUUAACACAUGCAAGUCGAACGCAGUGGCGAACGGGUGAGUAAUACGUGGGUAACCUGCCCUCCUCUUUGGGAUAAGACUUGGCAACGGGGUCUAAUAUCGUAUCACGGGGGUUGGGCUCGCGGCCUAUCAGCUUGUUGGUUGGGUUAUGGCCUACCAAGGCGGUGACGGGUAACCUGCCUGAGAGGGUGACCGGCCACAUUGGGACUGAGAUACGGCCCAGACUCCUACGGGAGGCAGCAGUGGGGGAUAUUCGGCAAUGGGCGAAAGCCUGAUGCAGCGACGCCGCGUGGGGGAUGAAGGCUUUCGGGUUGUAAAGCACUUUAGGUUGGGAGGCGUUACCAACAGAGUAAGCACCGGCUAACUUCGUGCCAGCAGCCGCGGUAAUAC